GUGGGGAAUAUUGGACAAUGGGCGCAAGCCUGAUCCAGCCAUGCCGCGUGAGUGACGAAGGUCUUCGGAUUGUAAAGCUCUUUUGGCGGGGACGAUAAUGACGGUACCCGCAGAAUAAGCCCCGGCUAACUUCGUGCCAGCAGCCGCGGUAAUACGAAGGGGGCUAGCGUUGUUCGGAAUCACUGGGCGUAAAGCGCACGUAGGCGGAUUUGCCAGUCAGGGGUGAAAUCCCGGGGCUCAACCUCGGAACUGCCCUUGAUACAGCAAAUCUUGAGUCCGGAAGAGGUGAGUGGAAUUCCUAGUGUAGAGGUGAAAUUCGUAGAUAUUAGGAAGAACACCAGUGGCGAAGGCGGCUCACUGGUCCGGUACUGACGCUGAGGUGCGAAAGCGUGGGGAGCAAACAGGAUUAGAAACCCGAGUAGUCC
rnacentral:rRNA from 1 species